GGGUUGUGAGGUUAAGCGACUAAGCGUACACGGUGGAUGCCCUGGCAGUCAGAGGCGAUGAAGGGCGUGCUAAUCUGCGAUAAGCGCCGGUAAGGUGAUAUGAACCGUUAUAACCGGCGAUACCCGAAUGGGGAAACCCAGUGUGAUUCGUCACACUAUCAUUAACUGAAUCCAUAGGUUAAUGAGGCGAACCGGGGGAACUGAAACAUCUAAGUACCCCGAGGAAAAGAAAUCAACCGAGAUUCCCCCAGUAGCGGCGAGCGAACGGGGAGGAGCCCAGAGCCUGAAUCAGCAUGUGUGUUAGUGGAAGCGUCUGGAAAGGCGCGCGAUACAGGGUGACAGCCCCGUACACAAAAGCGCAUGUGCUGUGAGCUCGAUGAGUAGGGCGGGACACGUGGUAUCCUGUCUGAAUAUGGGGGGACCAUCCUCCAAGGCUAAAUACUCCUGACUGACCGAUAGUGAACCAGUACCGUGAGGGAAAGGCGAAAAGAACCCCGGCGAGGGGAGUGAAAAAGAACCUGAAACCGUGUACGUACAAGCAGUGGGAGCCCCACCACUAAGCCAGUGGUGAACUCCACAUCCGCAUCCUUUGCUGAGGAUACGGUUAACGGAGCGAAAGCGACGUUCAACCGCAAAACAAGCAGAGGGGGCUUAGUGGUGGGGUGACUGCGUACCUUUUGUAUAAUGGGUCAGCGACUUAUAUUCUGUAGCAAGGUUAACCGAAUAGGGGAGCCGGAGGGAAACCGAGUCUUAAUUGGGCGUUAAGUUGCAGGGUAUAGACCCGAAACCCGGUGAUCUAGCCAUGGGCAGGUUGAAGGUUGGGUAACACUAACUGGAGGACCGAACCGACUAAUGUUGAAAAAUUAGCGGAUGACCUGUGGCUGGGGGUGAAAGGCCAAUCAAACCGGGAGAUAGCUGGUUCUCCCCGAAAGCUAUUUAGGUAGCGCCUCGUGAAUUCAUCUCCGGGGGUAGAGCACUGUUUCGGCUAGGGGGCCAUCCCGGCUUACCAACCCGAUGCAAACUGCGAAUACCGGAGAAUGUUAUCACGGGAGACACACGGCGGGUGCUAACGUCCGUCGUGAAGAGGGAAACAACCCAGACCGCCAGCUAAGGUCCCAAAGUCAUGGUUAAGUGGGAAACGAUGUGGGAAGGCCCAGACAGCCAGGAUGUUGGCUUAGAAGCAGCCAUCAUUUAAAGAAAGCGUAAUAGCUCACUGGUCGAGUCGGCCUGCGCGGAAGAUGUAACGGGGCUAAACCAUGCACCGAAGCUGCGGCAGCGAACGUAUCACUUAAAGCGAUUCAGCGGGUUACGAUUGACGGAGCGAAGCGACGUCAAAGCGUAUACAAAGUCGAGUCGGUUUAAGGAUACGUUCGUUGGGUAGGAGCGUUCUGUAAGCCCGUGAAGGUGGCCUGUGAGGGUUGCUGGAGGUAUCAGAAGUGCGAAUGCUGACAUAAGUAACGAUAAAGCGGGUGAAAAGCCCGCUCGCCGGAAGACCAAGGGUUCCUGUCCAACGUUAAUCGGGGCAGGGUGAGUCGACCUAAGGCGAGGCCGAAAGGCGUAGUCGAUGGGAAACGGGUUAAUAUUCCCGUACUUGGUGUUACUGCGAAGGGGACGGAGAAGGCUAUGUUGGCCGGGCGACGGUUGUCCCGGUUUAAGCGUGUAGGUGUGUGUUCGGGUAAAUCCGGUUCACUUUAACACUGAGGCGUGAUGACGAGGCACUACGGUGCUGAAGCAACAAAUGCCCUGCUUCCAGGAAAAGCCUCUAAGCAUCAGGUAACAUCAAAUCGUACCCCAAACCGACACAGGUGGUCAGGUAGAGAAUACCAAGGCGCUUGAGAGAACUCGGGUGAAGGAACUAGGCAAAAUGGUGCCGUAACUUCGGGAGAAGGCACGCUGACACGUAGGUGAAGUGAUUUACUCACGGAGCUGAAGUCAGUCGAAGAUACCAGCUGGCUGCAACUGUUUAUUAAAACACAGCACUGUGCAAACACGAAAGUGGACGUAUACGGUGUGACGCCUGCCCGGUGCCGGAAGGUUAAUUGAUGGGGUCAGCGCAAGCGAAGCUCCUGAUCGAAGCCCCGGUAAACGGCGGCCGUAACUAUAACGGUCCUAAGGUAGCGAAAUUCCUUGUCGGGUAAGUUCCGACCUGCACGAAUGGCGUAAUGAUGGCCAGGCUGUCUCCACCCGAGACUCAGUGAAAUUGAACUCGCUGUGAAGAUGCAGUGUACCCGCGGCAAGACGGAAAGACCCCGUGAACCUUUACUAUAGCUUGACACUGAACAUUGAGCCUUGAUGUGUAGGAUAGGUGGGAGGCUUUGAAGUGUGGACGCCAGUCUGCAUGGAGCCGACCUUGAAAUACCACCCUUUAAUGUUUGAUGUUCUAACGUGGACCCGUAAUCCGGGUUGCGGACAGUGUCUGGUGGGUAGUUUGACUGGGGCGGUCUCCUCCUAAAGAGUAACGGAGGAGCACGAAGGUUGGCUAAUCUGGUCGGACAUCAGGAGGUUAGUGCAAUGGCAUAAGCCAGCUUGACUGCGAGCGUGACGGCGCGAGCAGGUGCGAAAGCAGGUCAUAGUGAUCCGGUGGUUCUGAAUGGAAGGGCCAUCGCUCAACGGAUAAAAGGUACUCCGGGGAUAACAGGCUGAUACCGCCCAAGAGUUCAUAUCGACGGCGGUGUUUGGCACCUCGAUGUCGGCUCAUCACAUCACGGGGCUGAAGUAGGUCCCAAGGGUAUGGCUGUUCGCCAUUUAAAGUGGUACGCGAGCUGGGUUUAGAACGUCGUGAGACAGUUCGGUCCCUAUCUGCCGUGGGCGCUGGAGAACUGAGGGGGGCUGCUCCUAGUACGAGAGGACCGGAGUGGACGCAUCACUGGUGUUCGGGUUGUCAUGCCAAUGGCACUGCCCGGUAGCUAAAUGCGGAAGAGAUAAGUGCUGAAAGCAUCUAAGCACGAAACUUGCCCCGAGAUGAGUUCUCCCUGAGACUUAGAGUCUCCUGAAGGAACGUUGAAGACGACGACGUUGAUAGGCCGGGUGUGUAAGCGCAGCGAUGCGUUGAGCUAACCGGUACUAAUGAACCGUGAGGCUUAACCUUACAACGCCGAAG
rnacentral:rRNA from 1 species